AGGAUCUAUGAGAGGGCAAGUCUGGUGCCAGCAGCCGCGGUAAUUCCAGCUCUCAAAGUGUAUAUCGUCAUUGCUGCGGUUAAAAAGCUCGUAGUUGGAUCUGCGUCUCAGGACCUGGUCCAUCCAUUGGAUGAGAACUAGGCUCCUAGGCUAAUAUUGCCAGUUUUCUAUACGUUACCUUGAUUGGUUGCGUAUAGUGGCUAGCAAGUUUACCUUGAAAAAAUUAGAGUGCUCAAUGCGGGCUAAUGCCUGAAUACUCGUGCAUGGAAUAAUGAAAUAGGAUCUCGGUUCUAUUUUGUUGGUUUUCUGAUCUGAGAUAAUGGUUAAGAGGGACGGACGGGGGCAUUCGUAUCGCUGCGUGAGAGGUGAAAUUCUUGGACCGUAGCGAGACGUACGACUGCGAAAGCAUUUGCCAAGAAUGUCUUCAUUAAUCAAGAACGAAAGUCAGAGGUUCGAAGGCGAUCAGAUACCGCC
rnacentral:rRNA from 1 species